UUUAAUUGCACUGCAUUGACUGAUUUCUGUUACUGCAUUACUUAGAAAAUAAUUACACUGAGCACUGUGGUCUGCAUCCUGAACAGAUAAAUGCUGGCUAGUGAAUCUUACUGUUACUUGAAUUGUUUUAUGGAUGCAACUAAGUGCUCAAAGGACGGUUACCUCUAAUCCUGCAGUUGGUUUAAUGGUGUGUUUUUGGGUGUAGUUUUUCUGGUUCUUUACAUUUUCCAAAAUCAUUAUAGAAAAAUUAUUUAUUGACUUGAAUGGUGAAGUAUGCAUCAUGGCAUGAAAUAUAUUUCAAGAUGAAUCUCAUUUAUUUUUUUUGAAUUCAGUUCUUUUUGUUCUUGCCACUAGAUGGCAAUCUAGAGUUUUGACACUAUUCGAUUCCAGAUUAACACUGAGGUUAAAUAAUCCAUCUGUCAAUCACAAACUUCAUUUUAGUGGUCACUUUCAUUGUCGUAAAGAAUCAGAAGCCUUUUCAUAAUCCAGCAAAACCUUGUCACAUGGAAUUUGGAUAUAGUUGGUAGCAGACUUUUUGAUCCUGUCCAAUUGACUGGUUACUAGUCAUAUAACUUUAUAAGAUAGUCGAACCAUUAGCCUUGUCAGGAAUGUAGCAAGAACAGCAAGGUUUAUAUUUAUGUGUUUGAAUUGCGUGGAGUAUUUAAAUGGUCUUUAACAGGAAAUGGUUGAAAUAAGUAUACCUAUUCAAUCACGGUUUUCUCUGUUCUUGCUCUUUUUUUCUUUUUUCCCCCCCAAAGAUUCUUGUCUUGUAAUUUGUUCUUGCGUGAAAGUUGAGCGUGUUAAUGUGCCAUCCUGGAUUAAGCCAUUCUUGUCCAGGUCCAUGGCUUCCAAUCAUUAAUGAAGGCACAGAGGGACAGAUGGUGAAACCCUAGAUGUGCAAUAUGAUUAGUACUAGUAGUUCAAAAUACUGCUUCAGACUUUUGUGAAACCAAUGGAUUUUAUUGAUUCGUGUUGUGUCUGGGUUGCAUGUCAUGACCUUUUUUUUGUGAUAAAAAUGCUACAGAUGUCUGAGUUUUCGGUUGUGUGACAUAAACAUUAGUGUGGCAUUACUGUUAUCUCACGUGAACAGGUGAAAAUGCAUGCUUUCAGAUGCCUGUUUGUGGGGUUUUUGGCCGACGUUAGCAGAAUGAGAUGAACAUGGGCCUCACUAAGUCCAUCCGUGUCCAUAAUUGACGGAACAGUAUCCUCAGCGCUGUGUUGGACCGUUGCAUGGUGAAUACAGGAAUGUUAUUAUUAACUGUAACGUUUUUGAUCUGGGGGGGAAUCAGUAAAAAAAAUAAAUAAAGUAUGCUUCAAUUUAAGUUUAAAAAAAUAUUAUAAUAAUGCUAUCGUUAAUGGCA